rnacentral:rRNA from 1 species
GACGAACGCUGGCUGCGUGCCUAAAACAUGCAAGUCGAGCGAAGCGGCGGAUGGGUGAGUAACGCGUGGGUAACCUGCCCUUAAGUCUGGGAUACCAUUUGGGAACAGAUGCUAAUACCGGAUACUAAAGGAUGGACCUGCGAUGCAUAAGCUAGUUGGUAAGGUAACGGCUUACCAAGGCGAUGUUGCAUAGGCGAGUUGAGAGACUGUUCGCCCAAAUUGGGAUUGAGACACGGCCCAAACUCCUACGGGAGGCAGCAGUAGGGAAUCUGCCACAAUGGACGAAAGUCGGAUGGAGCAACGCCGCGUGAGUGAAGAAGGUUUUCGGAUCGUAAAGCUCUGUUGUUGGUGAAGCGGUAAUCAACCAGAAAGUCACGGCUAACUACGUGCCAGCAGCCGCGGUAAUUC